AGCAGCCGCGGUAAUUCCAGCUCCAAUAGCGUAUAUUAAAGUUGUUGCAGUUAAAAAGCUCGUAGUUGAAUUUCGGGGUUAGUAGGUUGGUCAUGCCUCUGGUAUGUACUGAUCUCACUGAUUCCUCCUUCCUUAUGAACCGUAAUGCCAUUAAUUUGGUGUUGCGGGGAAUUUGGACUGUUACUUUGAAAAAUUAGAGUGUUUAAAGCAGGCUAACGCUUGAAUACAUUAGCAUGGAAUAAUGAAAUAGGACGUUCGAUCUUAUUUUGUUGGUUUCUAGGAUUGACGUAAUGAUUAAUAGGGAUAGUUGGGGGCAUUAGUAUUCAAUUGUCAGAGGUGAAAUUCUUGGAUUUAUUGAAGACUAACUACUGCGAAAGCAUUUGCCAAGGAUGUUUUCAUUAAUCAAGAACGAAAGUUAGGGGAUCGAAGACGAUCAGAUAC
rnacentral:rRNA from 1 species